GAUGAACGCUGGCGGCGUGCCUAAUACAUGCAAGUCGAGCGAACAGAUGAGGAGCUUGCUCCUCUGACGUUAGCGGCGGACGGGUGAGUAACACGUGGAUAACCUACCUAUAAGACUGGGAUAACUUCGGGAAACCGGAGCUAAUACCGGAUAAUAUAUUGAACCGCAUGGUUCAAUAGUGAAAGACGGUUUUGCUGUCACUUAUAGAUGGAUCCGCGCCGCAUUAGCUAGUUGGUAAGGUAACGGCUUACCAAGGCAACGAUGCGUAGCCGACCUGAGAGGGUGAUCGGCCACACUGGAACUGAGACACGGUCCAGACUCCUACGGGAGGCAGCAGUAGGGAAUCUUCCGCAAUGGGCGAAAGCCUGACGGAGCAACGCCGCGUGAGUGAUGAAGGUCUUCGGAUCGUAAAACUCUGUUAGUAGGGAAGAACAAAUGUGUAAGUAACUAUGCACGUCUUGACGGUACCUAAUCAGAAGGCCACGGCUAACUACGUG
rnacentral:rRNA from 1 species